GUCGGGAAUUUUGCUCAAUGGGGGAAACCCUGAAGCAGCAACGCCGCGUGAGGGAUGAAGGCCUUCGGGUUGUAAACCUCUUUUGUCAGGGACGAUGAUGACGGUACCUGGCGAAUAAGCCACGGCUAACUACGUGCCAGCAGCCGCGGUAAUACGUAGGUGGCAAGCGUUGUCCGGAUUUACUGGGCGUAAAGAGCGCGCAGGCGGUCGGAUAAGUCGAGUGUGAAAGCCCCUGGCUCAACCAGGGAGGGUCACUCGAUACUGUUCGACUCGAAGGCAGGAGAGGGAAGUGGAAUUCCGGGUGUAGUGGUGAAAUGCGUAGAUAUCCGGAGGAACACCAGUGGCGAAGGCGACUUUCUGGCCUGUUCUUGACGCUGAGGCGCGAAAGCUAGGGGAGCAAACGGGAUUAGAUACCCGAGUAGUCC
rnacentral:rRNA from 1 species